AAUUAUGUCAUUUACCUAAGUAUUAAAUCAGAAUGCUAUCAAUUACUAUAAGCUUAUUACACAACUGUAAAAAAAUAAUCAUCUUUAUAACUCUUUAGUUGAAACUAUGGUACAACAGACCUCUUCAUAUGAAUUCGAAAUUCAACAAUGGAUGCCACCGUAUUGUUACGGCUUCAAAGUACACUCAAAAGGUUUGUUAUUUUGACUUAAAUUUAAGCGGAAAAUAGAAGGGAAACGAAUCAAUAUGUUCUUUUUUCUGCAAAAUUGUUUAACGCGUAGCACACAAGCAAAGCAGCGGAGAGAAACUAAGCUGCAGCAGACAGUUUAUGUUCUUGUUCAUCAAGGUUGAGAACUUCCAGCAACUUAGGCCAUGAUUCGGGGAUGCCUCCCGGUAAAUCAAAUUCCAGUAACUUACCUUGGCUACGGUAGAAGUCCUCAACAGGCUGACUCUUAUCCCAGUAUAUACUGAGCCUUUCCUUCACAAUGGCUUCUGUAUCAUCUGCUCGAGUGAUUAACUUUGAUAUACACUGAGAGGGAGGAUUAAGGGGAGCCAUGCUGAUUCUAGGAGCCCCAUUUUCACCAGCGACAUCUAUAGAUGCCACGUUGAAAUUCUUUCCACAUUCACUGCAGAUUCUUCGGCCAAGGCAUUUCUCAACCAAUACCCGCUCUGGAAGCUUGAGAUUAACCACCAAAUCUAUGUCUGUCACCUCGGUCAAUAUUUCUGCUUGUCUCACAGUUCUAGGGAAACCAUCAAGUAUGAAUCCAGCUUCACCCUUAGCUUCCCCACUCUCAAGCCUUUUGGAUAGUAGAUUCAGUAUAAUCUCAUCUGAAACCAAUUUUCCUUGGUUGACAAUCUCUGCAAGUUGUUUCGAUAAAGGACCUGAAGAUUUCAACUCAUCACGAACAAGAUCUCCAGUAGCAAUAUGAGGAACGCCUAAAAGGGUUGAGAGACGGCUAGCAUAUGUACCUUUUCCGACACCAGGACAACCCAAAAAGACCCAUUGAACAGAUUUAGCCUUGGGUUCAACACUUGUAGAAUGAGGGUAAGAUCGGGAUUUCACUGUCUCAGAUGCAGCUGCUGUAGAUAAAGAUCUACUGAUAAGAGAUGAUGAAGAUGAUGAAGAUCUGAACAGGCGGAUCAUGGCCGCCAUUGCCGGAAAAUUCUCCCGGAGUUAUUUUUCUUGAGAAGUGUGAA
rnacentral:misc_RNA from 1 species